rnacentral:rRNA from 1 species
UAACAAGGAUUCCCCUAGUAACUGCGAGUGAAGCGGGAAAAGCUCAAAUUUAAAAUCUGGCAGUUUCACUGUCCGAGUUGUAAUCUGGAGAAGCAUUUUCUGUGUUGGACCGUGUACAAGUCUCUUGGAAUAGAGCGUCAUAGAGGGUGAGAAUCCCGUCCAUGACACGGACUACCAAUACUUUGUGAUAUGCUCUCAAAGAGUCGAGUUGUUUGGGAAUGCAGCUCAAAAUGGGUGGUAAAUUCCAUCUAAAGCUAAAUAUUGGCGAGAGACCGAUAGCGAACAAGUACCGUGAGGGAAAGAUGAAAAGCACUUUGGAAAGAGAGUUAAACAGUACGUGAAAUUGUUGAAAGGGAAACACUUGAAGUCAGUCGCAUUGUCUUUGACUCAACCUGGCUAUAUGCUAGGUGUACUUCUUAGAUGAUGGGUCAACAUCAAUUUUGGUUGGUGGAUAAAGGUUGGAGGAAUGUGGCAUCUUAUGAUGUGUUAAGCCUUCAUUCGUAUACACUGGCUGGGAUUGAGGUCUGCAGCAUGCCUUUUUGGCCGGGGUUCGCCCACGUAACAUGCUUAGGAUGUUGGCAUAAUGGCUUUAAGUGACCCGUCUUGAAACACGGACCAAGGAGUCUAACAUGCUUGCGAGUAUUAGAGUGGAAAACUCUUAUGCGUAAUGAAAGUGAAAGUUGGGACCCUUCAUUGGGGCACCGACGCCCGGCCCUGAAGUUCUCUGACGGUGCUGCGGUAGAGCAAGUACGUUGGGACCCGAAAGAUGGUGAACUAUGCCUGAAUAGGGUGAAGCCAGGGGAAACUCUGGUGGAGGCUCGUAGCGAUUCUGACGUGCAAAUCGAUCGUCAAAUUUGGG